ensembl:lncRNA
GCACUUGGGAUCCAGUUCCCGGACCAGGGAUCGAAUCCAGGCCCACUGCAUUUGGUGUGCAGAGUCCUAGCCACUGGACCACCAGCCUGAGAAGUAGAAGACGUCUGUCUGCAGUGACUCCAAUAUAGCCACCUGCCUGAGCGUCUCGACCUCUACCAGCAGCAACGGGCGGCUCUUCCUGAGCCACCUCAUCCCUGCCAAUCAGAAUGAGGAGACCUCACCUCAACAGAAAUUUCAAAUGAAGCGUGAGCAGUGCACAGCUCCAGCAGUGGGGGCAGCUACGUGCUCCCAGAAGGAGAAAGCCAUUCCAGAGAGAAAGCAAGAACGAAAGACACAUCAAGGAAAACAAGAGUAUCGCUUGGUUCAAAACUGUUUCUCUGGUCCCUUCUGGGGGUGUGAGUAUACUUGCUGUCCAUGGGUUCAGAAAUAUUCCUGUAUAUCUUUACAGUAAAUUGGCACACUGGAGAGCUAGCUUGAAGGAGGUUCAGGUACUUACAAGUGAAGAAAACAUUCAUCAGGGUCGGUGAAAAAACAGACAGCUCCAAGUGAAAGAGCGUCUUCUAAAUAACUCUUCCUAUCGCCCACUCGGAAUUCACUUGUUAUCAAGAUAGAGGCUAAAAAUAAAACUAUCUGUUCAAAGGGGGAACAUGAACCUAAUCAAUGAAGUGUGUUAAGUACUACUUUGAUCCAUCCAACUGUUUUGAAAGGCAGCAUUCCCUGGGGGAAACGUCCUUGAGAUGUGGGAGCACUGCUUGGCAUCAUGAACUCCAGG